GUUAUCCGGUGCAGGGACCCUCUUGUGGCGGGUAGUUUGACUGGGGCGGUCGCCUCCUAGGGAGUAACGGAGGCGCGCGAUGGUGGGCUCAGGACGGUUCGGGAAACCGUCUGUUAGAGUGCCAAUGGCAUAAGCCCGCCUGACUGCGAGACUGACAAGUCGAGCAGAGACGAAAGUCGGUCAUAGUGAUCCGGUGGUCCCUCGUGGAAGGGCCAUCGCUCAACGGAUAAGGGGUACGC
rnacentral:rRNA from 1 species